GACGUAGGGCGCGAGCGUUGUCCGGAUUUAUUGGGCGUAAAGAGCUCGUAGGCGGCUUGUCGCGUCGUCCGUGAAAACCUGCGGCUCAACUGCAGGCUUGCGGGCGAUACGGGCAGGCUAGAGUUCGGUAGGGGAGACUGGAAUUCCUGGUGUAGCGGUGAAAUGCGCAGAUAUCAGGAGGAACACCGGUGGCGAAGGCGGGUCUCUGGGCCGAUACUGACGCUGAGGAGCGAAAGCGUGGGGAGCGAACAGG
rnacentral:rRNA from 1 species